rnacentral:rRNA from 1 species
CAUGCAAGUCGAGCGCCCCGCAAGGGGAGCGGCAGACGGGUGAGUAACGCGUGGGAAUCUACCCAUCUCUACGGAACAACUCCGGGAAACUGGAGCUAAUACCGUAUACGUCCUUCGGGAGAAAGAUUUAUCGGAGAUGGAUGAGCCCGCGUUGGAUUAGCUAGUUGGUGGGGUAAUGGCCUACCAAGGCGACGAUCCAUAGCUGGUCUGAGAGGAUGAUCAGCCACAUUGGGACUGAGACACGGCCCAAACUCCUACGGGAGGCAGCAGUGGGGAAUAUUGGACAAUGGGCGCAAGCCUGAUCCAGCCAUGCCGCGUGAGUGAUGAAGGCCCUAGGGUUGUAAAGCUCUUUCAACGGUGAAGGUAAUGACGGUAACCGUAGAAGAAGCCCCGGCUAACUUCGUGCCAGCAGCCGCGGUAAUACGAAGGGGGCUAGCGUUGUUCGGAAUUACUGGGCGUAAAGCGCACGUAGGCGGAUAUUUAAGUCAGGGGUGAAAUCCCGGGGCUCAACCCCGGAACUGCCUUUGAUACUGGGUAUCUCGAGUCCGAGAGAGGUGAGUGGAAUUCCGAGUGUAGAGGUGAAAUUCGUAGAUAUUCGGAGGAACACCAGUGGCGAAGGCGGCUCACUGGCUCGGUACUGACGCUGA